AUGCAGCCACAAACGAGAAGAAAAAAGGGGUCGAACGAAGGCAAACGGCAAAAAGUUAUAUUGUUUUAGCACUUGGCUGUUAGAGGCACAAGCUCUUACGGUGGUUCAAGAUAUUCAAGGAGCCCAGUGUCAGUUGGAUGAAUAUGGCUUAUUAUGUACAUCUUCUGCUCUGCUCUCACUGGACGUCUACCACUACACCUGAGCAAAUAAGAGCACAGCUAUGUGCAUAUAACACCUAACGGGAAACUCUAGGGCCGCAAACUUAUCAAACGCUCCUAUGGGUCGUAUUAGAGGGUAGACAUAAGCAUCCUAUAUAGUCGUUUGUUUUGGAGGACUUUUUGACAGAGAUGUAAUGAUGAUAAUUCUCUGUGGGUUCAUCACUACAAUCGACACCUUUCACACAAAUGUAGUCAUGUCAUCCAUUCAUAAUAAAGAUAUAUUGAUCAUACACUGUUAUUCCAAAUUAGUUGACUUUACUAGAAAUUUGCGUGGA